AAAGCUUUUCUUUCUUUUCCUUCAUACAAACCUACAUGUAUGACAAACAAUAUUUCAAAACUAAAACCAGGAAGAAAAUUCUUAAACCCUAAACCUGGAAGAUUUUGAAAUUCUCAUGAAAUAUCUGAGAGCUUGAAAUAAUAGCUUAUGUAAGCCGUGCAAUCCUGUCAAGCACAUUGAAACAUGGCGGUCCUCAAAGAACGGGCAUUGAAUUUUGCCAAGCACGACGAAUUAGCAGCAGCAGUGGAAGACGAAGAUGAUUACAGCGAAGAGGAAGAAGAAGAUUCAGAAUAUUCAGAAGAAGAAGAAGAUACCCCGCUAAACGAGCCUCGUAAAGAUGCGGUGUACAACAUCGUUGGUCUCCAUGAAAAACUUGAGGAGAUCGGAUGGCCGGACAACGUCAACUGGAUCGAAAAGCUCUGCAUAGAUUACAAAAGAGAAGGUGAAAUCGACGCCAAUGAUGACCUGGCGCGGGAGAUGGCCUUUUACACGCAGGCUUUGGAGGGUACCCGCCAAGCCUACGAAAAAUUACAGGCCAUGGGAAUCCCCUUCUUAAGACCUGAAGACUAUUACGCAGAAAUGGUGAAAACAGAUCAACAUAUGCUGAAGGUGAAGGAUAAGUUACUUUUCCAGAAGCAGAAAAUAGAGGAGGCGGAGGAGAGGAGAAAGUCGAGGGAGGCGAAGAAGUUGUCCAAGGCUAUCCAGGCGGUGAAAUUGAAGGAGAGGGCGAAGAAGAAGAAGGAAGAUUUCGAGUCAGUUAAAAAAUGGAGGAAAAUGAGGCAGAAUAGCGGUUUUAAGGACGGCGACGAUGAAAUGCCUCUGGAUUUUGAGGAAAGGAAGAGUUCGUUUCAGAAGGGGAAGAAGAUCAGGCCUGGGGUUUCACCUGGCGAUCGCUCGGGCGGGAAGGGGAGAAAUAAUAUGGCGUUUGGUGGAGGCAAAAAGGGGAGAAAUAUCGAGUUUGGCGGAGGGAAAAAAGUGGUGAAGAAUAGACAAUAUAAAGAUUCUAAAUUUGGACAUGGAGGGCCAAAGCGGAUGAGGAAGCAGAACACUGCGGAUUCUGCUGCAGAUGUUGCAGGGUUUCCGGGGAACCGGAAAAAUAACAAGAAGAAGAGAAGGAUGAAUUAAGGGUCUUUUGGGCUUUCUGUGUGCGACGCAUUUGUAAAUUUGGUAUUAAGGUUUACACAAAUUUUUAUCUUUAUAAAGCAUUGAGGGCAGCAAUUGCAUUUACCAUUGUAUCUGUGUACAAUGCUAUGCUGGAAGUGCGACCUGCCGUUCGACUUUGGAAGGCUUAUUGCUUGCUGAUCUUGUUAAUCUGAUUCUUAUAUUGCUGCAGAAGCAUUUGGGAAUGAUUGAUGAUGAAUGAUGGUGUUUGAUACUGAUAUUUUCUGAAGGCGUAUCUCGCUGAUCGCUGAUGAUACCGGAAUCUGAAGAUGUGUUUUCUGAAUGCUGAUGAUGGCAGGUCUGAUACAAUAUCAGCCUGCAGUACUAAGUCUGAAGAGAAGUCCUUUGAUGUAUACCUGUUCAACUCCUGGAGUUGAUCCAAGGCUGAUGUGCUUCUUUGUGGAAUGCUUUGAUCUUCUUUGGUAAUCAAAGUCCGCUGUCUCUUCUUUGUUUUUCUUUGGAUCUGCUCAUCAAUGAUGUAUAUCCCUCUUGACUCUUCAAAAAUAAUCCCUUAUAUAUAUUGUCUAUUUUUAAAGAUCA